AUCCCAGUAGCGCAAUGGAUAACGUGUUGGACGUCUAAUCCAAUGGUCAUGGGUUCGUAUCCCACAUGGGAUG